rnacentral:tRNA from 1 species
GGAUUGUGGCUCAACGGUAGAGUGUUCGCCUAGCAUGCAUGGGGUCCUGUGUUCCAUCCUCAGCACCA